ensembl:lncRNA
CCAGUUGUAAAUGAGAACUUGUUCUCAACUGACCUCCCUGGUGAAAUAAAGGUGUUCUCAACUAGCCUACCUGGUUAAAUAAAGGUGUUCUCAACUGGCCUACCUGGUUAAAUAAAGGUGUUCUCAACUGGCCUACCUGGUUAAAUAAAGGUGUUCUUAACUGGCCUACCUGGUUAAAUAAAGGUGUUCUCAACUUGCCUACCUGGUUAAAUAAAGGUGUUCUCAACUGGCCUACCUGGUUAAAUAAAGGUGUUCUCAACUGGCCUAACUGGUUAAAUAAAGGUGUUCUCAACUGGCCUACCUGGUUAAAUAAAGGUGUUCUCAACUGGCCUCCCUGGUUAAAUAAAGGUGUUCUCAACUAGCCUACCUGGUUAAAUAAAGGUGUUCUCAACUAGCCUACCUGGUUAAAUAAAGGUGUUCUCAACUGGCCUACCUGGUUAAAUAAAGGUGUUCUCAACUAGCCUACCUGGUUAAAUAAAGGUGUUCUCAACUGGCCUACCUGGUUAAAUAAAGGUGUUCUCAACUGGCCUACCUGGUUAAAUAAAGGUGUUCUCAAC